GAGAGGAUUCAGUCUGGCGUUUCGUGCGCGCUGGACCGGAAGACAAUUAGGGCUUCCCCGGAAUGGGGUGCCGUCCGGUCGCGCGGUCGCGUCUCGUCAGACGCAUUUGACUCUCGUCCGAAGGACGCUGCAGCCGGCGGGGCAGUCGCAGACGUGACGGCCUUGAGGGCGGGAAGAGGCAGUUGACCGGUGGCGCGCACUCAGCGCGCCUGCCGGUUGUUAGCCAUCCCGUCAGUGGCCCGUCGCUCCGCCGUGGUGUCACGAUGCCCUAACGGGCCUUGUCGCCUCCUCCUUAAAGGGAGAGAGUACCCCUCCGCUGGAGUUGGCCGCUGGCUCGUCGCACUCAUUCGGUGUGGACGGCCGUGCUAGCUGAACCCGCAGGCGUCGAGGUGGUCUCGUUGGAGGUUGGCGGCUCGCAGCGAGUAGGUCGGUCACCCACCCGACCCGUCUUGAAACACGGACCAAGGAGUCCAACAUGUGCGCGAGUCAAUGGGUCUUGAACAGGCCCAGAGGCGCAAUGAAAGCAAAGGCCGGCCGAGUGCCGCCGAGUUGGGAUCCCCGUCUGUCGGCGGGGCGCACCAACGACCCGUCCCGUCCGGCUCGCCGGUGGGGCGGAGUGUGAGCGUACACGUUGGGACCCGAAAGAUGGUGAACUAUGCCCGGACAGGACGAAGCCAGAGGAAAC
rnacentral:rRNA from 1 species